rnacentral:rRNA from 1 species
UACGUAGGGUGCGAGCGUUAAUCGGAUUUACUGGGCGUAAAGCGCGCGUAGGCGGUGCGGUAAGUCAGGGGUUAAAGCCCGGAGCUCAACUCCGGAAAAGCCUAUGAUACUGUCUGGCUUGAGGGCCGGAGAGGCUGGCGGAAUUCCCGGUGUAGGGGUGAAAUCCGUAGAUAUCGGGAGGAACACCAGUAGCGAAGGCGGCCAUCUGGCUGAUAACUGACGCUGAGGUGCGAGAGCGUGGGGAGCAAACAGG